rnacentral:rRNA from 1 species
GAUGAACGCUGGCGGCGUGCUUAACACAUGCAAGUCGAGCGAGUGAGUUCUUCGGAACGAUCUAGCGGCGGACGGGUGAGUAACACGUGGGCAACCUACCUCAUAGAGGGGAAUAGCCUUCCGAAAGGAAGAUUAAUACCGCAUAACAUGGUUGAAGGGCAUCCUUCGAUGAUCAAAGGAGCAAUCCGCUAUGAGAUGGGCCCGAGGCGGAUUAGCUAGUUGGUGGGGUAACGGCUCACUAAGGCGACGAUGCGUAGCCGACAUGAGAGGGUGAUCGGCCACAUUGGGACUGAGACACGGCCCAGACUGCUACGGGAGGCAGCAGUGGGGAAUAUUGCACAAUGGGGGAAACCCUGAUGCAGCAACGCCGCGUGAGUGAUGACGGCCUUCGGGUUAUAAAGCUCUGUCUUUGGGGACGAUAAUGACGGUACCCAAGGAGGAAGUCACGGCUAACUACGUGCCAGCAGCCGCCGUAACAC